rnacentral:tRNA from 1 species
GCCGGUGUAGAUCAGUCUGGUUAGAUCGCCGCCCUGUCAAGGCGGAGGCCGCGGGUUCAAGUCCCGUCGCUGGCG